rnacentral:rRNA from 1 species
GACGAACGCUGGCGGCGCGCCUAACACAUGCAAGUCGAACGAGCGAGAGAGAGCUUGCUUUCUCGAGCGAGUGGCGAACGGGUGAGUAACGCGUGAGGAACCUGCCUCAAAGAGGGGGACAACAGUUGGAAACGACUGCUAAUACCGCAUAAGCCCACAGGUCGGCAUCGACCAGAGGGAAAAGGAGCAAUCCGCUUUGAGAUGGCCUCGCGUCCGAUUAGCUAGUUGGUGAGGUAAUGGCCCACCAAGGCAACGAUCGGUAGCCGGACUGAGAGGUUGAACGGCCACAUUGGGACUGAGACACGGCCCAGACUCCUACGGGAGGCAGCAGUGGGGAAUAUUGCACAAUGGGGGAAACCCUGAUGCAGCGACGCCGCGCGGAGGAAGAAGGUCUUCGGAUUGUAAACUCCUGU